GGAUCCAUGGCGCAACGGUAGCGCGUCAGAUUCCAGCUUUGGAAUUUCCUGAAGGUUAUCCGUUCGAAUCGGGUUGGGUUCA
rnacentral:tRNA from 1 species